rnacentral:rRNA from 1 species
GGACCCGCACAAGCGGUGGAUGAUGUGGAUUAAUUCGAUGCAACGCGAAAAACCUUACCUACCCUUGACAUGUCUGGAACCCUGAAGAGAUUCGGGGGUGCCCGCAAGGGAACCGGAACACAGGUGCUGCAUGGCUGUCGUCAGCUCGUGUCGUGAGAUGUUGGGUUAAGUCCCGCAACGAGCGCAACCCUUGCCAUUAGUUGCUACGAAAGGGCACUCUAAUGGGACUGCCGGUGACAAACCGGAGGAAGGUGGGGAUGACGUCAAGUCCUCAUGGCCCUUAUGGGUAGGGCUUCACACGUCAUACAAUGGUCGGGACAGAGGGCUGCCAACCCGCGAGGGGGAGCUAAUCCCAUAAACCCGAUCGUAGUCCGGAUUGCAGUCUGCAACUCGACUGCAUGAAGUCGGAAUCGCUAGUAAUCGCGGAUCAGCAUGUCGCGGUGAAUACGUUCCCGGGUCUU